rnacentral:rRNA from 1 species
ACUCAAAUGAAUUGACGGGAAGGCGCACAACCAGGGGAGCAUGUGGUUCAAUUCGAUACGAAGCGAAAGACCUUACCCAGGCUUGACAUGCAAUCGUACAUUUCCCGUGAAAGCGGGAGAAAUUCGCAAGGAUGAUUGCACAGGUGUUGCAUGGCUGUCGUCAGCUCGUGCCGUGGGGUGUCUGCUUAAGUGCAGAAACGAGCGCAACCCCCAUCCAGUGUUCAUUUGUCACUGGAAACUGCCCCGCCUAUGGCGGGGAGGAAGGAGGGGAUGAUGUCAAGUCAGCAUGAUCCUUAUGCCUGGGGCCACACACAUCCUACAAUGGAGUGGAACAAUGGGUUGCUAAGCCGUAAGGUGGAGCCAAUCCCAACAAAACACUCCUCAGUUCAGAUCGAGGGCUGCAAUUCGCCCUCGUGAAGACGGACUUGGUAGUAAUCGCGGAUCAGCAGGCCGCGGUGAAUACGUUCUCGCCUUUUGUACACACCGCCCGU